AAUCAAAGUCAUACUACCCUGAACACACCCAACCGUGUCUGAGCUUGGAAGCUAAGCAGGGUCAGGCCUGGUUAGCAUUUGGAUGGGAGACCAUUUGGAGAUACCAGAUGCCCUAGGCU